ACCAUCAUCGUCUAGUGGUUUAGGAUACCAGGUUUUCAAGGCCCAGUUCAUGAGGCAGAAAUCCCUGGGGACCGGAGUUCGAACCUCCGUGAUGGUG